rnacentral:rRNA from 1 species
UAGGGAAUAUUGCAAAAUGGGCGAAAGCCCGAUGCAGCAACGCCGCGUGGGCGAUGAAGGCCUUCGGGUCGUAAAGCCCUUUUUGAGGGGAUGAGGAAGGACAGUACCCUCAGAAUAAGCCUCGGCUAACUACGUGCCAGCAGCCGCGGUAAAACGUAGGAGGCGAGCGUUAUCCGGAUUUACUGGGCGUAAAGCGCGUGCAGGCGGAUUGGAGAGUUGGAUGUGAAAGCUCCCGGCUUAACUGGGAGAGGUCGUUCAAUACUUCCAGUCUUGAGUGGAGUAGAGGGAAGUGGAAUUCCGGGUGUAGUUGUGAAAUGCGUAGAUAUCCGGAGGAACACCAGUGGCGAAAGCGGCUUCCUGGACUGUAACUGACGCUCAGACGCGAAAGCUAGGGUAGCAAACG